rnacentral:rRNA from 1 species
GUGCCAGCAGCCGCGGUAAAACGUAGGAGACAAACGUUAUCCGGAGUUACUGGGCGUAAAGGGCGUGCAGGCGGUUUCUUAAGUUCGUCGUGAAAUCGCCCGGCUUAACCGGGCGGGGUCGAUGGAUACUGGGAGACUUGAGGGCGGUAGAGGCGUGUGGAAUUCCGGGUGUAGUGGUGAAAUGCGUAGAUAUCCGGAGGAACACCAGUGGCGAAGGCGACACGCUGGGCCGUACCUGACGCUAAGACGCGACAGCAUGGGGAGCGAACGGGAUUAGAUACCCGGGUAGUCC